UACGGAGGGUGCAAGCGUUAAUCGGAAUUACUGGGCGUAAAGCGUGCGCAGGCGGCUUCGCAAGUCAGACGUGAAAUCCCCGGGCUUAACCUGGGAAUGGCGUUUGAAACUACGGAGCUGGAGUGUGGCAGAGGGAGGUAGAAUUCCACGUGUAGCGGUGAAAUGCGUAGAUAUGUGGAGGAAUACCGAUGGCGAAGGCAGCCUCCUGGGCCAACACUGACGCUCAUGCACGAAAGCGUGGGGAGCAAACAGG
rnacentral:rRNA from 1 species